UACAGAGACUGCAAGCGUUAUUCGGAUUCAUUGGGCGUAAAGGGCGCGCAGGCGGUCGGGUGUGUCAGAUGUGAAAUCCCGAGGCUCAACCUCGGAACUGCGUCUGAAACUAGUCGGCUAGAGUACUGGAGAGGGUAACGGAAUUCACGGUGUAGCAGUGAAAUGCGUAGAUAUCGUGAGGAACACCAGAGGCGAAGGCGGUUACCUGGACAGUAACUGACGCUCAGGCGCGAAAGCAUGGGGAGCAAAAGGG
rnacentral:rRNA from 1 species